rnacentral:rRNA from 1 species
UAUACAUGCAGUCGAACGCUUCUUUUUCAUCGAACUUCGGUUCACCGNAAAAGAAGAGUGGCGAACGGGUGAGUAACACGUGGGUAACCUACCCAUCAGCGGGGGAUAACACUUGGAAACAGGUGCUAAUACCGCAUAAUCUUUUUCUCCGCCUGGAGAGAAAGUGAAAGGCGCUUUUGCGUCACUGAUGGAUGGACCCGCGCUGCAUUAGCUAGUUGGUGAGGUAACGGCUCACCAAGGCCACGAUGCAUAGCCGACCUGAGAGGGUGAUCGGCCACACUGGGACUGAGACACGGCCCAGACUCCUACGGGAGGCAGCAGUAGGGAAUCUUCGGCAAUGGACGAAAGUCUGACCGAGCAACGCCGCGUGAGUGAAGAAGGUUUUCGGAUCGUAAAACUCUGUUGUUAGAGAAGAAUAAGGAUGAGAGUAAAAAGUUCAUCCCUUGACGGUAUCUAACCAGAAAGCCACGGCUAACUACGUGCCAGCAGCCGCGGUAAUACGUAGGUGGCAAGCGUUGUCCGGAUUUAUUGGGCGUAAAGCGAGCGCAGGCGGUUUCUUAAGUCUGAUGUGAAAGCCCCCGGCUUUAACCGGGGAGGGUCAUUGGAAACUGAGGAACUUGAGUGCAGAAGAGGAGAGUGGAAUUCCAUGUGUAGCGGUGAAAUGCGUAGAUAUAUGGAGGAACACCAGUGGCGAA